rnacentral:lncRNA from 1 species
UUUUUUUUUUUUUUUUUAAAGUCAAUCAGCACCUGUCUACUUGACACGUACUUUUACUCCUACUCUAAUAUAUUUUAGGAGAAGACUUAAUUGGGCCUUACUGGAAACUGACGGGAACUAAAUCACCAUCGGACCUAAUGAUUGUUGGAGUUUUAAGUGAUAGGAAAUGAGACAAAAUGCCUUGAAAGCAUGGAGAAAGAGUUGCAUGUUACCUAACCAAGCCCUAACUCCCCCAACCCCAAAAUUUGCUCUAGUUUGCAUAUAGGAUUCUACUCCAAUCUUGAGAACUCUGGGAAUAUCAAACAAAGGAGUCUUUAAUCUACCCCUAUUGGAGUUCUUUAAAAGAAUUCUUUGACAGGCAAAAUUUGCGAGUUUAUCCAUUGCGUCAAUAGAAGGCUAAGAACUUGAAUAGGGGUACAAGUCGGGGAGAAAAAAAAAAAAACUACCUGUAGUGGCAUUGUUGCCCCAUUAAUUUUUCUACAUAUUUGUAGAGAAUUUUAAAUUUUCAGUUCCGAUUUUGGUUUGGUUCAAAUAUGGUUCCAACCAAAUCGAAUCAAACUGAACCAUAUUUGAAGCAAAUCAGAAUCGGAAUCAGAAUCGCAGAUGGCCUGCCAGGUUUUAAGGAUACAAAAAAAAAUUUUCUGGCACGCGGGCCUUUCCUUUCUAGAAAAAAAAAAAAAAAAUCUCGUCAGGCAUAGACUUUAACGCAGGGACUUACAAUUAGAGGCCAAUAAGUUGGUUGUCGGAUUUUUUUUGGGAAGUAAGCAAAAUUAAUAGGAUUUGGCCGUGAAAAGGAGGAUUUCAGGGGGGGCUUUGGAGGCAAGGGGGGGGGGAGGGUAUUUCGUAGAAAUAGCCCAGAAACUUGUCUUAUGGAGAAUAACAGAUGAAUAUUUCAACAGUCACUGGUAAGGGGGUACUGACAAUAUCUAUUGUUCUUCAUACAGAGGAAAAAUCUUUCAUAAGCGGAAGCCAUUUUAGAAGCUGUAAACAUUGAGACUGCAUAUCUUUGGCAAAGUUUGCCUUUCCUCUGCAGCUCUCUUGAGCCAUCCUUAAUCGCUGACUCUAAAGCUUCAACAAGUGACUCCACAUUUGGUGAGAAUGUAUAACCAAACUCUUCGUUCAGUACCACUGUUCUGGUUAUGCUUGGAUAAUUUGGGGUCAAAACAGGCUUCCCACAAUGCAUUGCCUCCAUCAAGGUUAGAUCCAGCCCUUGAGGCCUCAAUGUAGGAUUAACAAACACAUCAAGCGAAUUGUAAAAGUGAGACAAUUCUGAAGGCUCCAGUGCGCCUAAAACCUUAACAUUUUUCCCUAGUUCAGCAUACCUUCUCCCCCAAGGACCUGAACCUGCUACCAGUAGGAAAACACCAGGAUGUCGUUUGGUUAUCUUUGCGAAUGCUUCAUAAAGCAGGGGAUGCCCCUUGUCCCUAACUAGCCGCCCUGCAAUGCCCAAUACUAGGCUCACAUUGGAGGGCACUCCAUAUCUUUCACGAAAUACAGCACCAGCCAUGGGAUCAGGCGUAAACUUUGUCUCAUCAACCCCAUUAAGGAUGACAUGCACAUUUCUUUGAGGCAGCUGAUAGAUGUUGACUAAAACCUCUCCUGCACUGUCACUAAUGCAAAUAUGCUGUUUAUAGAUCGAGAAGAACCUAAUCUCAUUAAGCAACCUGGGCAUUGCUUCUUGUAGCUCAGUCAUUGGUCCAGGCAAUUGCUCCUUUGGGUUGGAUAAGAGCUCCUGGAACAGUUUUGAAUGCAUUAUCUCAUACCACACCCCAUGCCAAGUUACUGCCACUUUAGGCACCACUCUUGCACGCCAAUAUGGCAGUGAUACACUCUCCGUGUGGACAUAAUCGAACUCAUUCAUCUUGUUCUCACGAUUGAAAAUGUCAAAUGCUAAGGAGCAAUUAACGGAGCCAUGAUCAUUGGACGCGAAAUAUACGUGGAGAUUACCUUGAUGAAUGUCCUCGUGAGCCCUUCUAUCAGAAGGCGCAGUAAAGAUAUGUAUUUCAUGCCCCUUAGCAGCAAGAGCAGUGUAUAAAGUCGAAGCAUGACGUUCCAUGCCGCCAGGAGCUGCACCAAUAGGCCAAGAUUUGGAGAAGACUGCAAGCUUUAGCUUCUCGUUUGCUUGUCCAAAACAAAGCUUGUUCCAUGGGAAUUUAGCCUCACGCAAAUCACCCCUGAAAUGCACCUCUCUGGACCAUGAUUUUGCAAAAUCAGCCAGUGGAGAAAAGAAGUAAAUGAAGGACGCAAGGGAGAGAAAUGCAGCAAUAAUGGUUGAACAUUUCAAGUAACACAAUUUUGGACGAGAAUGAAAUUUACGAUUAGAAUGCUUCAACCCCAUGAUUGAUGUCUGCUGCUAUUAGAACUCUAGUACACUUUUGAUUCUUGCUUCAUUGUGUUGUGUUCAAUGUUAAACAUUUAAUGGUGCAACCCACUGAUGCCGGAGAUCUCCUCGUGCUUGUCAACUUUUCUGGAAUUGCACAAGAUCACAUGGCUGUUCCGAGAAAUAGUCAACCUGGACACACAUUAACUUCAAUAAGAUCUGACUUUCUUAUAGAUUGACUUAAAUUUAUGUAUUGACAGCAAGAUCUGAUUUCUUAUAGCUCGUCAACUUACCCUGUAUUGGGCUCAUUACCCAAAAGCAGUGUUACUUUUGUUCUCCCUAAUUUCUUAUUUUUCUUCUAGACAGAACAUGGGUCUGGAGAUUUUGAGCCUGGAUGCCAACCAUGUAUUGGUUUCUGUUUCUUUCUUUUUUUCCCUCCUAUUUCUAUGUUAAUUUCUCUUGCUAAUUCUGAUAAUCUAUAACUACCUUAUUAGAGCUAAAACAAUAAAAUCCAUUAGAAAUUGGGAAUGGGUACACUAACUAAAGGGUAUCGAGGCAAGGCUUAAGGCCUAAUUCUAGAUCUUAUCAAACCUUCUAUAAUACCCGUACAUUGAAGCUAUCGAUUACACCACUCUAACAAAACUUUCAAAUUACUUGUUAGCUUCCAUCAAAUUGAAGUUAUCUAGCAAACAAAACAAGCUCCUGCUACAUAUGAUUGGAAACCCGACCUCCAGAUUCCAAAUGCAAAAAGCAAGAAAAAGGGAAAAAAACAGAAAUUGCUUGUUACUUGAGAGUUCCAUACUUCCAUUGUCUCACUUUUGUCCAGUAGGGUAACCAUCUGGACCCUUUUCCGCCUUUUGAUUAAUUUGCUAUUUAGUAUAAUCUCAAAUUGAGGACGUAGUGAAAAUGCCAAUGUCAUGUGUUUAUUAGUUUGAUUAUGAAUUUAUUAACACAACCACCAUUAAGAGGGUCAAAAUGAAGGCCUAAAUGGCAUGAUGCUCUAUGAGCAGCAAAUGCUUUGUGGAUGUAACCCUCCCUAUUCCAUUAAGAGGCAGAGCCUGUAAAUUGCUAAAUACAUAUAUAAACAAGUAGGUGUAUAGUUUCCUGAUCGGCUGAUCCUCGCAGACCUAAAACUGCAAAAGAACAACAUGGCUCAGGACAGCAGACAAAUGUGAUAUCCAUCUGGACACCCUAGAGCAAUGAAAUAAGAAGCAUAUUCGCUUUGAACUUCACUCUGGGCUAAUACCUGCAAGGCCAACCUGAAUCAUUUGAUUCAUUUGCUGAGUUUACUUCUACAAUAAUCAGAAGUUGACUUAACAUAUUGGAAUGGACAAAGCAUAAAUUUGCAAAGCUUGCGUGCUUGUAAAAAUCAUCAGACUAGCGGUCAAAAACUUCAUAUCAUAACUUGAUAUCAGCAUCAAGGAACAUGAGUAAAUUCUUAUCAAGAGCAGUUCGAAAGAAAACCAAACUUGGCACCAUUUGGCUUAUGAUUAUUUCUAGUUAGGACUAAAUUCUUGAUAGAUAACUAAUAAUCCUCAAGAUAUAAAAAGAUUUUAAUGCCCUCGAGUGACAUAUGCAAGUAAAAUUGCAGCAAAAACUGUUGUUGCAGAGGAC